CUGGCUUAUCCACAGAACGCUAGACCCCAUCGUCGCACAGUGUCGUUCUCAGCCCGAAAGCCCUCGGGGAUCGGUUGGACCUAAGCUUUGAGGAAAGUGUCGGCGACAAUAAACAUGAGGUUAAGUUUGUUGUUGAUGACAGCUGUGCUGGCUAUCUCCCGCACAACAUUGG